AAGUCGUAACAAGGUUUCCGUAGGUGAACCUGCGGAAGGAUCAUUAACACGUUAUCCACGUAUCACCAUGAGAACCGUUAUUUACUCCCUCUGUUUCAGAAUGAGCAGCAGCAAGAUAGAUUGGAUGGAAGGGUCAGCUUCGCGGCGCCAGUGGUCUAUUUGCUAUUCGUUUCCGCAAGGAUUCGUACUGUUGUAUUUGAUUCGUGGAGGUCCCUCUCGGCGAACAGCUCUCCUUCCACGAGAUGCGCGCUGGGAAACUUAUUAACAAUUCUAACCCCUUUUUGCUAGUUGACUUUUAUAUGUUGUUCUUUGCCUCGGCAAGGUUCACACGUUUAAUUAUUUGAACGUUAAAAAUACAACUCUUAGCAAUGGAUAUCUAGGUUCUC
rnacentral:misc_RNA from 1 species